CACGUAUGUACGUAUAGUAACACCUAUGUACGUAUAUUAACACGUGUGUACGUAUAGUAACACCUAUGUACGUAUAGUAACACCGAUAUACGUAUAUUAACACCUACGUACGUAUACUCACAUUUUUUACUAUUUUUUUACGCUUAUUCACAUUUAUUUUAUUUAUUUUUCGUUAUAUGCAUGUGCAAAAAUAUUGUAUUGCGCCUAAAUGGAUGCGCCUAGGUACCCCAUAAACAAACGAGCGAAAAAGCAUAAUAAUAGAAAAUAUAUAGUACAUCCUGAAAACGUAGUUUUCUUAAACUAUUUUACAAGUUUAAAAAGAAAGGCACUCGCUCAAGGUCAUAGUAAUUUGAUAAUAUCAUAUUGUAAAAUAAUUUCUUCUAUUUUAAAAUAUCCAUUGCCUAUUAGAACUAGCCUUGAUGCAUAUAAAUUGAAAGGUGUUGGUAAAGGGUUUUCGCAUUGUUUUGAAAAAGCUCUUAUACAAGCGAAAGAAGAAAAUAAAUAUAAUGAUGUUUACAAUGGAAAUGCUUCAUAUAAUGGAGGUCCGCUUCGAAUUGUUAGUUACGUCAAUGCAGUUGCUAACAAUGUUAACAAUUUUUUAAAAACAUUUGAUAAUGAUAUUUAUAACAUUAGACAAAUAGGAGAACUAUCAGAUGAUAGUGUUGUAAAGAAUCUAAAGGAGAUUGAAAACGAUUAUUCAAAUAGUAUUGAUUAUAUGUUAAAUAAUAAAAAAACAUCUAAAAGUAAAACAAAAAAACAAAACCAAAAAAAAGAAAAAGAUAACAAAAUAACGUGUGACCAAAAUAGUAAUGAUCAAUUCAAUGAAAAUAAUAAUAAUUUUUCUAUGAUAAAAAGUCCGAGUAUACAAGAAAGUGAUAAUGUCUUGUCGAAAAACAAAAACUUAAGCACAUACAAAAAUAACAAUAGCUUGUCUAUAACGAAAAAUUCAUAUACAUACGAAAAUAACGAAAAUUUGAACAAUUAUACGAUCAAAGCUAGCCAUGAAAUAAAUAUGAGUAAACUUCUUUUAGAAUAUGAAAGAAAAUCCAUAAAAAAAAAAAAGCCUUUUCCAAAAAGGAUGAAAAAAAAAAAAAAAAAAAGUACUACUACAACUGCAACUGUUAGUUAUGAUAGUGGCAAAACUAGUUCGAAUAAUAAAAACAAAAAUAUUGAUUUAAAUGAUUUUGAUAAAAAUACGCUUAAUUUAUUAAACACCUACGGUCAGUU
rnacentral:lncRNA from 1 species